GCUCAGAUAGCUCAGUUGGCAGAGCAUGAGAUACUUAAUCUCAGGGUUGUGAGUGCGAGCCCAUGUUGGGCA